rnacentral:rRNA from 1 species
UGCGUAGGCGGAAUUUUAAGUCAGUGGUGAAAUCCUGCAGCUCAACUGUAGAACUGCCAUUGAUACUGAUCUUCUUGAAUUUAGUUGAGGUGGGCGGAACGUGUAAUGUAGCGGUGAAAUGCUUAGAUAUUACACAGAACACCGAUUGCGAAGGCAGCUCACUAAACUAACAUUGACGCUGUGGCACGAAAGCGUGGGUAGCGAACAGGAUUAGAUACCCUGGUAGUCC